rnacentral:rRNA from 1 species
UGGGGAAUUUUGGACAAUGGGGGCAACCCUGAUCCAGCAAUGCCGCGUGUGUGAAGAAGGCCUUCGGGUUGUAAAGCACUUUUGUCCGGAAAGAAAUCCCUUGCCCUAAUACGGCGGGGGGAUGACGGUACCGGAAGAAUAAGCACCGGCUAACUACGUGCCAGCAGCCGCGGUAAUACGUAGGGUGCGAGCGUUAAUCGGAAUUACUGGGCGUAAAGCGUGCGCAGGCGGUUUUGUAAGACAGGCGUGAAAUCCCCGAGCUCAACUUGGGAACGGCGCUUGUGACUGCAAGGCUAGAGUAUGUCAGAGGGGGGUAGAAUUCCACGUGUAGCAGUGAAAUGCGUAGAGAUGUGGAGGAAUACCGAUGGCGAAGGCAGCCCCCUGGGACGUCACUGACGCUCAUGCACGAAAGCGUGGGGAGCAAACAGGAUUAGAUACCCUGGUAGUCCACGCCCUAAACGAUGUCAACUAGUUGUUGGGGAUUCAUUUCUUCAGUAACGUAGCUAACGCGUGAAGUUGACCGCCUGGGGAGUACGGUCGCAAGAUUA